CAGGACGCAGAACCCUGGUGAGCUGAUUUGGUCUGAACAAGGCACCAGCUGUGUGGAAUGCCAGACCGGUAAGUUUGGUUUUGUAUGUGCCUGGUGUCAUUUUUCAGUUGGGCUAACACUGCACAGCAAUUUAGACAAGCAGACCCUAUUUCCAUGCAAGUCAGGGGCUGACAUGGGAUGGAACACACACACACACACACACCAAAAGAGAAGUACUGUUGUAGAGGGAUGUGCUGCUCUUCUCAUACUAUGCUCCAGUAGGCAUGAGGGAAAAGCAAGACAAUAGCUUUCCAUAUUUUCCUUUUUUCCCCCUUAGAAUUCAUUGAUAAACAUUAAUGUUAUUAACCAUAACUAAACAAGUGCUUCUUAUUUUUUUCCCACAAGUGAAACCUUAAAAAAAUAAAAUAAAAUAGUUUACAAUGUGAAACAUACAUUCCUUGGAAUGUAUAUUUGAUUUAAAAAUAGUUCUCUUCCAUAUUUCUCUACUUUUUAAAGCAACACAGAACAGAAAAGGUAUCUGAGAGAAGCUCAAGAGUUACUUUAAUGUGCUAAAAACACACACAAUUUAAACUUUCUGUUCAUUGAAUGUUCAUCCUGAUUUGUUUGCACAAAGUUUGUGGGGAGGUUAGACGAUGCAAGCUAUUUACUGAGUAUUCAUUCUGAUUAUUUGGCAGGGAGGAUAAGACAGCCUGGAAGCACUCUAAGGUGCCCUGGUACUUUCUGUGUACUUGCAACUACAGUCAUACCUCGGGUUAAAUGUGCUUCAGGUUGAGCGUUUUCAAGUUACGCUCCGCGGCGACCCGGAAGUAAUGGAGCACGUUACUUCCGGAUUUUGCUGCUCGUGCAUGCGCAGAUGCUCAAAAUGACGUCACGCGCAUGCGCAGAAGUGGCAAAACGCGACCCGCGCACACGCAGACGCGCAAUCUCGUCUUAUGUUCUACUCAAGAUGCGAACGGGGCUCUGGAACGGAUCCUGUUCACAUCCAGAGGUAUCACUGUAUAGACCAAAACUAGUAUCACAGCUAGAAUAAUUUCCUAAAUUGAUUAGUGUUCAGUGUUCAGAUAUUACAUUAGCAGCUGUGUGGAAUAAAUGCAGUUGCAAUUUUUAGAAAGCAGUAAUAGGCAAACACAUGCACACACGUACACCCACUCUACCCAAAAGCAUUCUGCCUGUUCAGUCUGCAGCUCUUUUCCUAACACCUGCCAGAAUCUGACACAGCUUCAGUAGUCUCUCCUGUGUCAAGCUGUCAGGUGUUGUGUGGUGUUAGAAAAAGAACAUGUCAGAAAGUUCUGGUUUCAAAAGCAGCCUCCUGACUUACUGUUGUGAUCCCACAUUUGUGCAUGUAACAAAACAGCAGUGGAAGUCAACAAUAUUUUACAGACUUCUUUUAUUUAGAACAUUUAUGAACAGUCUUUCUGAGCACACAGAAUGUGCGCAAUUCAAAGCUAAAAGCAAACUUAAACAAACAAGCAUUUUAAAAGCAGAAGGGAAGUCCACAAAAACAUCAACAUAAAAAUCACCAAAGAGCAUGAGCAUUUCAAGGUUCACAAAAACACAAGGAUUUAAAAACCACCAUCAGAUUAAGGGUACUUCCAGACUGUGAAUAUUUUGCGGGAAGCAUGCAUGUGUGUAUUGUAAAUUUAGGUUUAUGCAUUUUAAGUGCUCUGGUUAAUGUGCUCUGUCACCCUACCUCAACGAAUCUACUUUUUUUGCAGUUUGGAAAGUGAUGGGGAAAUGCACUGAAAAGUGUGAGCAAAUAAUGAGAAGACAUGUAAACACCUCACAAGCAAAUCAGGAUAAAUGCAAGAAGGAGGCUCAUUCUCAUAUAACUGCCUUUGAAACAAAUCAGUACAAAUAGUCAAUAAAGACCACACAUAGUCUAACUACCCUGUAAGCUUUAUACAAGCAAAAUCAGGAUGAAUGCAGAAUAAACAGGUUAUCCGGAGAAGCCCCAAAACUAAGCUGCUGACAAUAGAGA
rnacentral:lncRNA from 1 species